AGCUUGGGAUAGGUGGGAACUUUCUUCCAUAGUGACGUGAAUGGAUCGUCCUCUGGGGAGCUCCUCGAGAUGGGAUGCUCGGAUUGGGGAGGGAGGUAGUAGGGGAGGCGUGGAAAAAGCAAAGGCUGGAACCAGGUGCCCCCUCCCCAUCCUUCCCAAGGCAGCUGUGUGUGGUGCUGCAGUAACCCUGCUACUCACAUCCGCCUCGUUCCAGAGCCCCGGGAUGCAGAAGGAUUCCAGCAGGUCACUGCCACACAGCAGCAAGAUCCGCAGCUCUGAGGAGGGGGAGCAAAGAUUGCACAGGGGGCCACCGCCCUCAGCAAACAGCUUGAGAAGCAAGGCUGAGCCCACCCGCCUCCUUCCCAGGCGGGCUUCCUGCUUGUCACUUAUUUUCCUUCCCUCCCGAAGCCUGCCCUGAAUUAUCCCAGCAUGGCCCAUCACGACAGGCAGCAAACUCACUGACUUAUUAAAACUGAGCAGUGGGGAGAAAAGGAUCCCAGGAUUCUCAGAACCACGUGGGGGAAGACCUCUGCCUGGGUGUGACUCAGUGUGCAGCGUGUGGUUCCCAGGCACCCUGGGCCCUCUGGCAAGAGGCCGUGGCUGUGGGCAUCUUGUCUGAAAGUGUGAGACAGCCCUGCUCGGAGCCUUCCAGAAACCACUGCCACCCUGCACCGACGCAGAGACAUGGCUGUUAGGCCUGCCUGCCUGAGACCACACAGCUCCUCGGGGACCUCACAAGGACUUUCAGACAGUGACCUGGUCCCUGCUGCGGGAGUCUCCAGAUGGCACAGAGAAGGAAGGCUGCUGGGCUGACGACAGUGCCAACAUCUUGUUGUCCCACCCAGGGCAGCCCUUCCCCAUGGGGCUCCUCCUCAUGGAGCCAUGGGGUCUUAGCUCCAAAAUAUUCCUGUAGCCUCCCCUCCCCUUUACAUCAUCCCGUAGCCCAAUCUGCUUAUGUACGGGGACCUUAAUUUAUCUUUAUAUCCCCAGGCCUGGCAGAGUGACCCGCACACGGUAGGUGCUUGGGACGUACUGAAUAAGUGAACAGCAGACAAGUGACCACAGAAGUCAUGGAAGCAAGCUGUCCAGGAGCCUCCUGGGUGGACCUCAUGGCCUUUGUUUUUGGAGUGGGGAAGGGGGGGCACAGGCAAGAGGUGUCUCCCUCCUUCCAUGCUAUGCCAUAGGCCUUCUGGCCCAACUCCCCAUCUGUGGAGAUGAACCAGCCUUCAUAUGGCUGAGAGGAGCCAGACUGGGUUCAUUCCUGGGAUCCUACUGUUCCCAUCCCCUGCUUGGAACCACCCAGAGCUCUGGAGCUCUUUUUCUGUAGAAAGAGAAAGAAGCCGAGGCUCUGGA